rnacentral:rRNA from 1 species
GACGUAGGGGGCCAGCGUUGCUCGGAAUUACUGGGCGUAAAGGGUUCGUAGGCGGUGUGGCAAGUCGGGAGUGAAAUCUCUGGGCUUAACUCAGAGGCUGCUUCCGAAACUGCCGUGCUAGAGUGCGGGAGAGGCGAGUGGAAUUGCAGGUGUAGCGGUGAAAUGCGUAGAUAUCUGCAGGAACACCCGUGGCGAAGGCGGCUCGCUGGACCGCAACUGACGCUGAGGAACGAAAGCUAGGGGGAGCAAACAGG